rnacentral:rRNA from 1 species
GAUGAACGCUAGCUACAGGCUUAACACAUGCAAGUCGAGGGGAAACGGCAUUGAGUGCUUGCACUCUUUGGACGUCGACCGGCGCACGGGUGAGUAACGCGUAUCCAACCUUCCCAUUACUGUGGGAUAACCUGCCGAAAGGCAGACUAAUACCGCAUAGUCUUCGAUGACGGCAUCAGAUUUGAAGUAAAGAUUUAUCGGUAAUGGAUGGGGAUGCGUCUGAUUAGCUUGUUGGCGGGGUAACGGCCCACCAAGGCGACGAUCAGUAGGGGUUCUGAGAGGAAGGUCCCCCACAUUGGAACUGAGACACGGUCCAAACUCCUACGGGAGGCAGCAGUGAGGAAUAUUGGUCAAUGGACGGAAGUCUGAACCAGCCAAGUAGCGUGCAGGAUGACGGCCCUAUGGGUUGUAAACUGCUUUUGUAUGGGGAUAAAGUUAGGGACGUGUCCCUAUUUGCAGGUACCAUACGAAUAAGGACCGGCUAAUUCCGUGCCAGCAGCCGCGGUAAUACGGAAGGUCCAGGCGUUAUCCGGAUUUAUUGGGUUUAAAGGGAGCGUAGGCUGGAGAUUAAGUGUGUUGUGAAAUGUAGACGCUCAACGUCUGAAUUGCAGCGCAUACUGGUUUCCUUGAGUACGCACAACGUUGGCGGAAUUCGUCGUGUAGCGGUGAAAUGCUUAGAUAUGACGAAGAACUUCGAUUGCGAAGGCAGCUGACGGGAGCGCAACUGACGCUUAAGCUCGAAGGUGCGGGUAUUAAACAGG